GCGGUAGUUCAGUUGGUUAGAAUACCGGCCUGUCACGCCGGGGGUCGCGGGUUCCCGCCCCGUCAACCGCGCCA
rnacentral:tRNA from 1 species